rnacentral:rRNA from 1 species
AGCGAACGCUAGCGGCGGGCCUAACACAUGCAAGUCGAGCGGGGAGCAAUCCCAGCGGCGAACGGGUGAGUAACACGUGGGUAAUGUGCCUUCUGGUGGGGAAUAACCUUGGGAAACCAGGGCUAAUACCGCAUAUCGUGCUUCGGCAUGAAAGCCUUCGGGCGCCAGUAGAGCAGCCUGCGUCCCAUUAUUUAGUCCUAGUUGGUAGGGUAAUGGCCUACCAAGGGUACGAUGGGUAGCUGGUCUGAGAGGAUGAUCAGCCACACUGGAACUGAGACACGGUCCAGACUCCUACGGGAGGCAGCAGUGGGGAAUAUUGCGCAAUGGGGGAAACCCUGACGCAGCCACGCCGCGUGAGUGAUGAAGGCCU